ACUGUGAAAACUGAGGAGGACUCUGGGUUAUUUAAGGGCAGCUGAGGAAUUUCCCGUGGUGCGUUUCACCUGCUGAUUGGACGGAAGUGGAAAGCUUUAUCGUGUUUUAUUUGGUGCCUAAGUUUGACUUGUUUUUUAAUUCCACCUGGAAUGAUGCACUGCAUGGGACUUAUUUCUAAUGUUUGCAUCACUUGCUUUUUUUAAGAAAAAAAAAAUAUUAUAAAGAACAAUAAUAAUAAAAAAAUUUAGGUUUGAAAAGGUCAAAAUACCUCCUCUGAAGACCAAUGUGUUUAUACCUCAGUGUAUGUUUCUUUUGAGAUGCUGAAGUGACACGAUGUCGCUGGGAUUGUGUUCCUGUGUUAUUGUCCAAACAGUAUAUUCCUUCUUUAAAGCAUUAUUUGGUUUCGUUCUGUUCUUUUCCUGUUCUGUAUGAAUUACAAGUGCUUUACUGAUGUCUCCUGUCCUUUAAUGCCUCCUCAGCUGUAUAGAAAUGCCUUGUACUGUGAGAGAAAAAGAGAAAGCGAAUGACUCUGCAGAGCGAUGUUGUGUUGAUUUCUAACAUAGCUGAGUAGAGAUGGGUGUCAAUAAAACAUUCAACUUUUACACACA